rnacentral:rRNA from 1 species
AGAGUUUGAUCCUGGCUCAGAACGAACGCUGGCGGCGUGCUUAACACAUGCAAGUCGUACGAGAAAUUUGGACUUCGGUCUAGAGAGUAAAGUGGCGCACGGGUGAGUAUCGCGUAGGUAAUCUACCCUUGGGUUUGGGAUAACUCGCCGAA